rnacentral:rRNA from 1 species
CAACAGUUGGAAACGACUGCUAAUACCGCAUGACGCAUAGAGGUCGCAUGAUCUUUAUGCCAAAGAUUUAUCGCUUCAAGAUGGCCUCGCGUCUGAUUAGCUAGUUGGCGGGGUAACGGCCCACCAAGGCGACGAUCAGUAGCCGGACUGAGAGGUUGAACGGCCACAUUGGGACUGAGAUACGGCCCAGACUCCUACGGGAGGCAGCAGUGGGGAAUAUUGGGCAAUGGGCGCAAGCCUGACCCAGCAACGCCGCGUGAAGGAAGAAGGCUUUCGGGUUGUAAACUUCUUUUAAGAGGGAAGAGCAGAAGACGGUACCUCUAGAAUAAGCCACGGCUAACUACGUGCCAGCAGCCGCGGUAAUACGUAGGUGGCAAGCGUUGUCCGGAUUUACUGGGUGUAAAGGGCGUGCAGCCGGGUCUGCAAGUCAGAUGUGAAAUCCAUGGGCUCAACCCAUGAACUGCAUUUGAAACUGUAGAUCUUGAGUGUCGGAGGGGCAAUCGGAAUUCCUAGUGUAGCGGUGAAAUGCGUAGAUAUUAGGAGGAACACCAGUGGCGAAGGCGGAUUGCUGGACGAUAACUGACGGUGAGGCGCGAAAGUGUGGGGAGCAAACAGGAUUAGAUACCCUGGUAGUCCACACUGU